rnacentral:miRNA from 1 species
GGCUGCCUAGGGGGCUGGCUAG